rnacentral:rRNA from 1 species
ACGGGAGGCAGCAGUAGGGAAUAUUGGACAAUGGGGGCAACCCUGAUCCAGCCAUGCCGCGUGAGUGAUGAAGGCCUUCGGGUUGUAAAGCUCUUUUAUAGGAGACGAUGAUGACGGUAUCCUAUGAAUAAGCACCGGCUAACUUCGUGCCAGCAGCCGCGGUAAUACGAAGGGUGCUAGCGUUGUUCGGAAUUACUGGGCGUAAAGGGCAUGUAGGUCGUAUGACAAGUUAGUGGUGAAAUCCCGUGGCUCAACCUCGGAAUUGCCAUUAAAACUGUUAUACUAGAGUGUAGGAGAGGAUAGCGGAAUACCCAGUGUAGAGGUGAAAUUUGUAGAUAUUGGGUAGAACACCAGAGGCGAAGGCGGCUAUCUGGCCUAUUACUGACGCUGAUAUGCGAAAGCGUGGGGAUCAAACAGGAUUAGAUACCCUGGUA